rnacentral:rRNA from 1 species
UACGAAGGGGGCUAGCGUUGCUCGGAAUUACUGGGCGUAAAGCGCACGUAGGCGGUUUCUUAAGUCGGGGGUGAAAUCCUGGAGCUCAACUCCAGAACUGCCUUCGAUACUGGCGAUCUCGAGUUCGGGAGAGGUGAGUGGAACUGCGAGUGUAGAGGUGAAAUUCGUAGAUAUUGCAAGAACACCAGUGGCGAAGGCGGCUCACUGGCCCGAUACUGACGCUGG